rnacentral:rRNA from 1 species
UACGGGGGGGGCAAGCGUUGUUCGGAAUUACUGGGCGUAAAGGGCUCGUAGGUGGCCAACUAAGUCAGACGUGAAAUCCCUCGGCUUAACCGGGGAACUGCGUCUGAUACUGGAUGGCUUGAGUUUGGGAGAGGGACGCGGAAUUCCAGGUGUAGCGGUGAAAUGCGUAGAUAUCUGGAGGAACACCGGUGGCGAAGGCGGCAUCCUGGACCGAUACUGACACUGAGGAGCGAAAGCCAGGGGAGCAAACGGGAUUAGAAAACCCUG